rnacentral:tRNA from 1 species
GUCUGGGUGGCUCAGUUGGUUAAGCGUCUGACUCUGGACUUCGGCUCAGGUCAUGAUCUCACCGUUUGUGAGUUCAAGCCCCACCUCAGGCU